UACGUAGGCAGCAAGCGUUGUUCGGAGUUACUGGGCGUAAAGGGUGCGUAGGCGGCUUUUUAAGUCUGGUGUGAAAUCUCCCGGCUCAACUGGGAGGGUGCGCCGGAUACUGAGGGGCUAGAGUGUGGGAGAGGAAAGUGGAAUUCCUGGUGUAGCGGUGAAAUGCGUAGAUAUCAGGAGGAACACCGGUGGUGUAAACGGCUCUCUGGACCAUAACUGACGCUGAGGCACGAAAGCGUGGGUAGCAAACAGG
rnacentral:rRNA from 1 species